rnacentral:rRNA from 1 species
CAAUAGCGUAUAUUAAAGUUGUUGCGGUUAAAAAGCUCGUAGUUGGAUUUCUGCCGAGGACGACCGGUCCGCCCUCUGGGUGAGUAUCUGGUUCGGCCUGGGCAUCUUCUUGGAGAACGUAUCUGCACUUGACUGUGUGGUGCGGUAUCCAGGACUUUUACUUUGAGGAAAUUAGAGUGUUUCAAGCAGGCACACGCCUUGAAUACAUUAGCAUGGAAUAAUAAGAUAGGACCUUGGUUCUAUUUUGUUGGUUUCUAGAGCUGAGGUAAUGAUUAAUAGGGAUAGUUGGGGGGCAUUCGUAUUUAACUGUCAGAGGUGAAAUUCUUGGACCGUCGCAAGACGAACUACAGCGAAAGCAUUUGCCAAGGAUGUUUUCAUUAAUCAAGAACGAAAGUUAGGGGAUCGAAGAUGAUCAGAU